UUUAUUUCUCUAGAUAUUUCUCAAAGAAAUUCUCUGAAAAUUUCUCUGGGAGUAUCUUAAGCAAUUCUUCUUGUUAUUUCUUCAACAAUUCUCUAGUAAUUUACUGAGAUUUCCCCUAAGUACUAGGAGUUAUUUUAGGCAUUUCUCCCCUGAGAAUUUAUCUGGGAAUUCGUCUAGUAAUUUCUCCAACAUUUUUUUCUGGAAAUAUUUCUUAGAAUUUCUCUUAAAAAUGCCUCUAGGAUUUUUGUCAGAAUUUCUCUGGAAAUUUUUCAUGGCAUUUCUCUAGGAAUUUUCUUAAAAUGCCACUGAGCAUCCCUUUUUUGAAAUUUCAGGGGAAUCGAUAUCCCCAGGAAUUCCUGGGUUUCCUGGGAGUUUUUCUAUAAACUUUUCUUUGAAUCUUCCUUGAAAUCCUUCUGAGAAUUCUUUAAGCAAACCACUGGGGAAGUAAUCUGUGAGUUUCUCUUGAAAUUUGUUGAGAAAGUCCGCUGAGAACUCUUCGCUUAGAAGUUUCACUGAGAUUUCCAUAAGGAAUUUGCCUGAAAUUUCUUCUAAGGAUUUAGCUACAAGUUUGUGCAUUGUUUCUUCUAAUCAAUGUAACUUUUUACUUACUGUUCUACUGAAAAAUCUCUUAGGAAUUCCACUGAGAUUCCUUGCAAAAAAAUCCUCUGAGAAUUUCUCUGGAGAUUGCUCUGAUAGUUAUUUUUAGGAACUUCACUUGGAUUUUUUGGUUGUUUUUUUUUUUUGUGAAUUUCUGAAAGAAUACUUCUAAGAAUUUCUCUACAAAGUUUCCCUUGGACUUGUUCAAAAAAUUUCUCUGGAAAUAUCUCAAGGGAUUCUACGAAGAGUUCUAUUGAUAUUUUUUCCGAGAAUUGCCUUUUCGGAAUUCCAGUGGAAAUUCAUCUGGAGAUUUCUCUCUGAUUUUCUCUAUAAUUUAAGAAUUUCUCUUGUAAUUCCUGUUGAACCUUCUCUUGGAAUUCCUCUAAGAAUUUAUCGGAAAAAAUCUAAGGGUUUUUCUUUGAAUUUCUGAUAGAAUUUUUCAAAGAAUUUCUCUAUGAUUUUUUAUAAUUCCGCCGAGAAUUCCUUUGAAUUUCCUGAGGAAUUUGUUGUUAAAAUUCCUUUGAAAAUUUCUUUAGGAAUGACUCUUGGAAUUCAUCUAGAAACUCCUUUGGGAACUCCUUCAGGAGUCCUUCAAGAAUCUUGUCCGUAGAUUUUUCUAGGAAUGCCUCCGGUCAUUCUCCAAGCAUAUACAGGGGGUGGCCAAAAUGUUUGGGAUAGGUAACUUUUUUUCUCUCACAAAAAAGCUCAAUAUUCUAUAACUUUACAUAGAGCGCAUCAAAAAAUCUCAAAUUUUGACUGUUUGUCAAUCUAUUAUAUGUGCAUCAUUGGUACAAAUUUGGGCUCGAUUGAUUAUUGUUUCGCAAAGUUAGAACCGUUCGGGUAAAACACUAUUUUUUAAACAUCUCAUUUUUCAGCUGUCAUAUCUCGGAAACCAGUGAACCGAAUUGAAUGAAAUUUUGAACGUACACUAACAAUAUGUAAAUGCUUCACAAACUAUUAAACAUAGGUACUUUUUCAACGAUGAAAAAAGUUAUCAUGGAUUGACACUUUUUGGAUUUUUCUCGAAAAAAUUUUAUUUUUGCCUUUCUCGUACACCAAGGUGUACCGAAAGGCUAUAUGUUUACUCCAAAAAUGAAAUCUUGAUAGAACCCCCGGAGGACCAAGUCUUAUAUACCAAUCGACUCAGCUCGACGAGUUGAGAUGAUGUCUGUGUGUGUGUAUGUGUGUGUGUAUGUAUGUAUGUGUGUGUGUGUGCGUGUGUAUGUGUGUAUGUGUACAAAAAUGUCACCUCACUUUUGGAUAGUAAAUAUCAUCCGAUUUCAACGCUUUAUGUUUCAAUCGACGCGGAAUAUUGUCCCAUUGUUUCCUAUUGAAAAUGGUUUGAAUCGGUCCAGCCGUUCCGGAGUUAUGGCCAUUUAGGUGUUCCGGACCGGUACCCCAGGAAAGGGCCGGAUAUGAAAUUGCAACAAACCCAUGCAUGCGACCCAUCAAACCACGGCAUUUUCGAUUAUCUGAUGAACGGUAAGCAGGAAAAUAGUCGCAGACUAUAUCUGAACCGGUAGUGUUCCGGAACCGGUUCCGGGUGUCCCGCCGGAAGUGGCCAAAUAUGAAAGUGAAACAAACCCAUGUAUGCGACACAUAUAAUCACCGCUUUUUCUGUAAUCUGAUGAGAGAUAAACAGGAAAAUAGUCUCUGACCAUAUCUGAUCUGGUAGUGUUCCGGAACCGGUUCCGGGUAUCCCGCCGGAAGUGGCCAAAUAUAAAAGUGAACCAAACACAUGCAUGCGACACAUCAAAUCGCAGCUUUUUCUAUAACCUGAUGAACGGUAAAUAGGAAAAUAGUCGUGCGCUAUAUCUGAACCGGUAGUGUUACGGAACCGGUUUCGGAUCAUAUCUGAACCGGUAGCAUCCCGAAACCAGUUCCUGAUGUCCCGCCGGAAGUGGCCUAAUUCAUACAUGCGAUACAUCAAAUCGUAGCCUUUUCGAUAACUUGUACGAUCAGCAAAAAAUAAGCAAAGCCCACAUUAGAAACUACUGAUAGUGUUCCGGAAUCGGUUUGAGGUGUCUCGCUGAAAGUGGCCGAAUGCAAAAAAAAAAAACAAAAAUUCGCGACACAUCAAAUGGCAAUUAAAGUAUCGUGAUGAACGGUUUCAAAGAAAAAAUGUCUCAGAUCAUGCUUGGGAGAACUAGUAGUGUCCCGGAAUCGGUUCCCGGUGUGGUCAAAUGUAAAAGGGAACCAAACUCCAUGCAUGCGCUUCAUCAAAUCGCGGCUUUUUCGAUAAGCUGAUGAACGAUUAUUAAGAAAAUUAGCUGAGAUUACGUAAGAGACCACCGCUAGUGUUUCACAACCAGGUUCCAGGUGUCCCGCCGGAAUUGGUCAAAUGUAAAAAUGAACCAUGUAAAUUUUCCGGAACCGGUUAAGAGUGUCCCACUGGAAAUGGACAUAUAUAAAACUGAAUCAAACCCAUGCUUGCGGUACAUCAAAUCGCUUUUUUGUCAGUAACCUGAUGCAUGGAUAAUAUGAAAAUAGGCACAGUCCAUAGAAGUUACCACCGGUAGUGUUUUUAAUUCCGGGUAACCUGAUUAACAGUUUUCAUAAACUCAGACCACAUUUAAAUAUACCGGUAAUGCUCCGGAAUCAUUUCCGGGGGUCUCGUAAGCAAUGUAAGCAAUUAUGUAGUCUCGUGAGACUACAUAAGAGGCUACCGGUGGUGUUGCAUAGGCUGAAUUACGAAAGUGAACUAAAUCAAUGCAAGCGAUGGAUAUGUGUAAGCGAGGGGCGGAUCACUUCCAAAACAACUGAAUCGAAAAUGCGUUUUGAUGAAAAUGCGUUACAAAAUGCUCCAAUGCGUUGAAAAAUGCGCCAAAAUAUCCAAUGCGUUGAAAAAUGCACAGGAAUGCAUGGCGAAUUUUUGGAGUUUUAUUACACAAUUUGUUGAAAAAUACGCCAAUGCGUAGGAAAAUGCGUGUAAUUGGGCUCUUCAGGGGUAUCUAGAUUAUUUCAAAAUCGAAAUCUCCGUCCAAAAAUUAGUCGAAAUCCAAAAUUUCAUAACUUUCGUUGACCGGGAACUAUUUUUAAAAUGCAUUUAAAGUUUGUAUGGGGAAAUUUUUUUGUUCGGGGCGAACUGUCAUUUUAUCGAUUGAACUGUCAUUCUAUCCACGGAAAUUAAAACUGUUUUGUUUAUUUAACCAUCAAAACAAAGGAAUUGGAACGCAAUAAAAUCAGGUUAUACUCAGAAAAAUGAGCUCUUUCGAUUAGGCUAUGGAAAACAGUAAUAUUAUAUUCACUAAACAACCCAAUUUAUCAAUGCGUAUAAAAAUGCGAGCAUUCCACCAAUGCGCAUACAAAUGCGUGCUCUCUAUCAAUGCGUAGAAAAUUUUGUCAAUGCGUAUAAAAAUACGAACAAUUUCAUCAAUGCGUUGAAAAGUGCAUGCUGUAAAAUUUUGACAGGUGUUGUUCAAUUUUAGAAAUGCGUACCUUAAUACGCCAAUGCGUAACAAAAUGCGCCAAUGCGUAUGUCAAUACGCAAGGCUGAAUCGAAAAUGCGCUAGUGAUUCGCCCCUCGUGUGUAAGAGAACCAAAAGCCUAAAAAAACUAAGGCGAUCUCGUUAAAUCACACAAUGUUUGAUUUCUGAGACGUAAAUUUACAGUAGGAUGGGUCAACGUUGUAUGGAAAAAUUAAAAUUUAGGCGCAUCAGCCCCGAACAUUCUUUUAAAUCUUUAUUUGCGUCUAAAAUUACUGCGCAAAAUUUUGAUGCGAAUGGAGGGCGAGCACUGUAAUGUUGUUUAUAUUUGAAUAUGAUAUAGCAUUGGCAAUUCAAAUUACUACAUUACAAAUUUUACAUGGAACUUGUAACCAAUGAUAGUUUUUUUUUUUUUUUUUUUAUUUAUGUGUAUUUUAACUUAUAGCUAAUUCUACACUUAACCAAUGAUAGUAAAAUAUAGAAUAAAGUAUGCAGAUUAAACUUUGUCAAAGUGAUCUGUGAAAAAGUUAAAUCCUGGCUAGUAAUUGUCAUCUUGGUAUGAAUCAGCCUCCAGUGAAGGUGGUCAAGCAGUCAACUAAAAGGUCUGAUACUUUCGGCUCUGCCCAUACGUUGAACAUAACGUCGGAAUAAGUGCCCCAAUUCGAUGAUGACCUUAAAUUUCUAAAUAAAGUAUUCUCAUGAUUCAGAAAUUCGUAGGUGGUACAGUCCCAGAUCGCCGUUAUGAGCAUUUCCUCCUUCUCGUCCGUUACCAAAGCACAGAGAUUUGGGGCUGAUCACUGACUCUUAGGCAAGAUUGAUUACGUCGACGGAAAGAUUAUGAGUACAUGUUCGACGAGAAAGGCACUAUCACCACUAGGUGGAUUAAUCUGGGUUUUUUACAUCAAGGUCACUAAAUUUUAAUGUUGAUAUCCAAAGAUUUUCCACUUCUGUUCUCAAGUUAUCUCUAAUCAGGUAUAUUAUAGUCUAUUUAGAUUGAAGGAAGGUCACAUUUAGUAAUUUUUGUAUUGUAAUGUAUUGUAAACUAGACUUAUUUUCCUCUAUAUGGGUAAAUAUUUCAACCCGGUAUAACUUAAUUUGCCGUGAGAAAAUGUUACAUUUUAUAACGUCGUAUUAAGUAUCAAUAUAUUGUUGAUAAACUUCAAAAAAAUAAUUCAAUUCGGUUCACUGGUUUUAGAGAUAUAACAGCUCAAAAAUGAGUUGUCUAAGAAAUAGUGUUUUACCCAAAUGGUUCUAACUUAGCGAAAAAUUAAUCAAUCGAGCCCAAAUUUGUACCAAUGAUGCACAUAUAAAAGGUUGACCAUCAGUCAAAAUUUGAGAUUUUUUGAAGCACUCUAUGAAAAAUUACAGCAUGUUGAUUUUUUUUUGUGGGAGAAAAAAAGUUGCCUAUCACAAACAUUUUGGCCAUCCCCUGUAGCUUGAGAAUUCAUCUGGAAGUUUCUUUUGGACUAAGCCUGGGAAUUUUUGAAGAAAUUCUUCUUCUGGAAUUUUACUUGGAAUUUCUUAUUUUUUUCUCGAUUUUUUUAUAUUUCUUUGGGAGUUUCUCAGGCAAUUUAUCUAAAGAUUCUUUCUGGCAUUCUCCAAUGAAUUUCUCUGGAAUACCUCCUGCUGUAAAUUCCUCUAGGAAUUCCUUAAAUUCCUUAGAAGACUUUUCUAUGAGUUUUAUUAUUAAAAAAAUAUUCGAUACUAUUACUAGGAAUCUCUAAUUUUUAAAUGUCUACUAAGAAUUUCUUUUUCGAGACGCGUAGAAAUGGUUCUGGAGGUUCAUCUAGGAACUCCUUCAUGUAUAUCUGCAAAGCUUUUACAAGUUCUAGAGAUUUUGAGAAAUUUCCAAAAAAAAAAAAAAUGGAAAGUCAGUUUUCAGAGAGAGCUGACUCAACCCUCUGGAGCCGGAGGAGUCAUAUAUGACCCCGGGGAUGAAAUUGAGUAUAACAAACGUGUUCGAAAUUAGCGAGGUAGCGACAGCAGUGGCGAAACAAUCCUAACCUAAUGGUUUACUUAUGCCUUAGUCACUCACGAGCAAUCAGUUUGAUAAGAAACAACAUAGCCAAAACACCACUGGCGACUUUGACUGAUUGACAGAUCGUAGUAACAGAGCAGGAUGUAGGUAGUUCUAUUGCAAUAGUAAUAGAAACAGUGAACACUGUGAAUAUCAAUUCGACAAUGAACAGUUUCAAUCAAUCAAUCAAUCCAUGCAUCAGCAUAACAUCCCAAUGUUGAUCAUCAAUUUUCUAUGGAUCUGGUCGAACAAAAAAGAUACAUCUGCUUUUGGUUUUCCUAUUGAUCCGGUAAAGUUGAUUGAAUUUGAAAUGGUUCAUAUUUUGCAAUCACCUUCACAAUUCAAGAGAUCAGUUCGUGAUGCAGGUGUAAAUUUCAUAGCCGUUUUACCAUUUUUUCACGAUCAUUCAUCACUGACAAUUACACUUGACAACCAAAAAAGAGUACAUUUCAACUUUAAUUCGGAGGGCUGUGAAUAAAAAAGCAUAUCCAUUUCAAGGCACGUGGUGCCUUCACUUGCAUCAACCUAAUGAUGCAUCAGUUCCUCAAAAACUAGCUGGUAAUUGAUCACCUUGGUCACCCUCCGAAAUCUCAUCAACGAAGCCAAUUGUAGCUAAAUUUGAAACCAAUUUUCGUCAGUCUGUGAAAAUCACACCCAACUUGAAGCGGGAUGAUCUGAAAUCUAGCUAAUUAAAGUUUUGCCUUCCUAACCAUUGUGACUAGUUAUUGCGUCUCCAAAUGAUGUUGAUUCUCUAACCGGCGACGGUGACUAUUAUGACGAAAACGCAAAAUUGCACACAGUCGCUUAAUCAUAAAUCACGAGCAUAAACGCCGCUGCUGCUGCCGUAGCAAACAAUGGUCUCGAAUGCAACCGAAUGUUCCUUUCAAGUUAGCCAGGUUAGCAAAUCUUCGCAACGCAAGAUGGGGCCAGAUGAUCGAUGCAUCAAUUGUUUUGAAUUUCUUCUGACCUUCUGUUGUUGAGAGUGGUGCCGAUGACGGUGAAAUAAAUCGGUAUGGUAUGGUAGAUCCGAAAAAAUGAAAAUCGAUUUUCGUCACACGUUGAUUGUCCGACUGUAACUAUACGUGCUUAAAGUUAAACUCAUCAAACCACUGCCAUGGCUGAGGCAGACAACAUUUGUUUUUCUUCGUUUCCCAAAUUGCCUAAUGAAAUUCAAAGUGUGAAUCAAUUAUGUGUUCUUCGAGCGAGAGAAUUAUCACUGAUUGCGGAUUAUUUCAAUUUCUGUUUUUCUUCUCUUCACUUUUGUUUUAAGUUGGAAGACGACGACACUGCUGGAUACUGGACGCUGGAAGAAUUUCGCUGAAAUUCAAGCGAGAUUGCAUCCUGAAAGCUUCUGAAAGUCACACAAUCUUCACGACAACUAAGCGAAGAAAUUCCUGCCCCCAGCAUCGUUGAAAGCUUCUGAGACAAACGACCCGCUUUACUGAACACUGCUGCGACUGAAUGCCAUUAUCGGCGACGACGGUGUCGGUGUUGGUGGUAGUGGAGCAACAGCUUCGUCCCGUUGAAAGGAUAAUGCCAAUAAAAUAAUUGUCCCAAAGGAGGAGGAGGAGAUUUGGAGAGCAUAUGAAGGUGGAGAGAAGGAAGGAAGUCGUAGUAGAAGGGCGGACCGCCAUCGCUGGGCGUCGGAAAUCUUCUGCGGUAGUGGCGGUGACACGCCGGGAAAGGCACAAUUCUAUCGCCAAAAUGACACUGUACUGGUGGAAGCACUGGUUCUGGAUCACCGUGUUUGCAGGUGAGUUUUUUCGAGGUUCAUGCAUUUUAAUUAUUUAGAACAAUAUCUGUACAAAAAGACCAUGUCAAUAACAGUAAAUGCAAUAGUUUCCCAGA